rnacentral:lncRNA from 1 species
GUUUAGAGCCAUCCACACCAAAUUACGAAAUGGAACUCUGAAUUUUGUACCAUUUAACACUAAAAUUAUCAAGAAUUAUGAUACACAACUCAUUCAAUGGCAAAAAAACUGCUUAAAUGGAUACAACAAUGGGGGUAGCAGCUUUGAAUGGUUCGCAAGUAGUUAUUCUGACACUAGUUUCUUCACUUAAAGACUUUGCUCCAAGAAAUGGUGUUCAGAAAACUCAUAAAAGGCAAACACAACUGCUUAAAUGGUCA